rnacentral:rRNA from 1 species
UACGGGAGGCAGCAGUGGGGAAUAUUGCACAAUGGGCGCAAGCCUGAUGCAGCCAUGCCGCGUGUAUGAAAAAGGCCUUCGGGUUGUAAAGUACUUUCAGUCGUGAGGAGGGUGUUAAGGUUAAUAACCUUAGCAAUUGACGUUAGCGACAGAAGAAGCACCGGCUAACUCCGUGCCAGCAGCCGCGGUAAUACGGAGGGUGCGAGCGUUAAUCGGAAUUACUGGGCGUAAAGGGCACGCAGGCGGUUAAUUAAGUUGGAUGUGAAAUCCCCGGGCUUAACCUGGGAAUGGCAUUCAAGACUGGUUAGCUAGAGUCUUGUAGAGGGGGUAGAAUUCCAUGUGUAGCGGUGAAAUGCGUAGAGAUGUGGAGGAAUACCGGUGGCGAAGGCGGCCCCUGGACAAAGGCUGACGCUCAUGUGCGAAAGCGUGGGGAGCAAAC